rfam:Nomascus leucogenys chromosome X, whole genome shotgun sequence.
AACUACUAUGUCAGUAUUAAUCAAUUAGCAUUAAUAUAUUGGUGCUCUUAUGUACUUCGUGCAUUACCGCUAGUCCUCAUGAAUAAUAUAUA